ensembl:lncRNA
GUUGGACGGACACACAGCGUCGAUUGGUCGCUCCUCUUUUGGCGGCGGGUGUGACUGGUUACACUUGACGCUGUCCUGCUUCGGGGGGUCUUUAACCGGGACGGAAAUGGCCUUGGCAACUAUGGCGGCAGAGCGGGGCUUGGCGGUACGUCCUCGCUGGACCGUCUCCCAGCCCUCAGCAUCCUUUUUACCUGGAAAACACGAGAGGUGACGUAGAUCUCGUCCACAGCCCGCCGCAGGUUGUCAAAGAGGAAGGCCCAGUAGCGCGCUCGCAG